rnacentral:rRNA from 1 species
GAAUAUUGGACAAUGGGCGAAAGCCUGAUACAGCCAUGCCGCGCGUGUGAAGAAGGUCUUCGGAUUGUUAAGCACUUUAAGUUGGGAGGAAGGGAAGUAAGCGAAUACAUUGAUGUUUGGACGUUACCGACAGAAUAAGCAACGGCUAACUCUGUGCAAGCAGCCGCGGUAAUACAGAGGGUGCAAGCGUUACUCGGAAUUACUGGGCGUAAAGCGCGCGUAGGUGGUUCGUUAAGUUGGAUGUGAAAUCCCCGGGCUCAACCUGGGAACUGCAUCCAAAACUGGCGAGCUAGAGUAGGGCAGAGGGUGGUGGAAUUUCCUGUGUAGCGGUGAAAUGCGUAGAUAUAGGAAGGAACACCAGUGGCGAAGGCGACCACCUGGGCUCAUACUGACACUGAGGUGCGAAAGCGUGGGGAGCAAACA